rnacentral:tRNA from 1 species
GAAGAGAUGGCUCAGUGGUUAAGAGCACUGACUACUCUUCCAAAAGUCCUGAGUUCAAUUCUCAGCAACCACA